GGAAAACGCCACGGACGUCGGAGGCCCAGGGGGCGGGGCUCGGCGGCGGCCCGCACUGUAUUUUUUCCUUCCGGGGACGGCGGAGCCCAGGGCUAUCCCGGCCUCAGCUCAUACCCGGAGGGCCGGCAGGCGUUGAGUCCUCCAGCCGGUGAGGCUCGGGCCGGGGUGUCGGGACCGCCUGAACACGCGGGCUCUGGGAGCUUCAGGGACCAGGGAGCCCCCUCGGCCGAGUUGCGUCGCAGACUACAGCUUCCAGCAUGCGUCGCCGCUCCCAGCAUGCACCUUCCUCCCGAAACGCGUCUCUGCUUCCGGCGCUCUGCUGCGGAGGCCGUGGCCGCGGGUAGUUGGGAGGAACGGAGAUUUACGCUUGUUCUGGAGGCUGGGAAGUCCAAGGGCGAGGGGCUGGCAUCUGGUAAAGGCCUUCUUGCUACACCAUUCCAUGGGGGAAGAUGGAAGAGCAAGAGGACACACAAGCAAGAGACAGCUAAACUCAUUUUUACAACACAUGCUCAUGACAACGAACCCACUCUGAUAAUAACAUUAAUCCAUUCAUGAAGGCAGAACCCUCAUGGCCUAAUCGCUUCUUAAUGGUUCCACCUCUUAAUACCAUCACAAUGGCAAUUAAAUUUCAACAUGAAUUUUGGAGGGAACAUUCAAACCAGAGCACUGUUGACUGAGUUUUCAUUUUUUAUUUUAAUAAUUGCUUUUUUAAAAAUUUCCAGGGUCUCUGGUUCUUUUUUAUAAACUACCUGUUCUUGUUUCAUAA